rnacentral:rRNA from 1 species
CCUACGGGAGGCUGCAGUAGGGAAUAUUGCUCAAUGGGGGAAACCCUGAAGCAGCAACGCCGCGUGGAGGAUGAAGGUUUUCGGAUUGUAAAACCCUUUUGUUAGAGAAGAUAAUGACGGUACCUAACGAAUAAGCACCGGUUAACUACGUGCCAGCAGCCGCGGUCAUACGGAGGGUUCAAGCGUUACUCGGAAUCACUGGGGGUAAAGAGCGCGUAGGCGGGUUAGCAAGUCAGGUGUGAAAACGUAGGGCUUAACCAUAGAAGUGCAUUUGAAACUGGUAUUCUAGAGUAGGGGAGAGGUAAGUGGAAUGCUUGGUGUAGGGGUGAAAUGCGUAGAGAUCACGAGGAAUGCUGAUUGCGAAGGCGGCCUACUGGAACAUAACUGACGCUGAUGCGCGAAAGUGUGGGGAGCGAACAGGAUUAGAUACCCCAGUAGUC